UACAACUGUGUGUGUGUGUGUGUGUGUGUGUGUGUGUACACGCGCGCACACACACACACACACACACACAGUCGUACC
rnacentral:miRNA from 1 species